AUCCAGCUGACAAGUCCCAAAUAGGACGAAACGUGCGCCAUGGAU
rfam:Schistosoma curassoni strain Dakar, Senegal genome assembly, scaffold: SCTD_contig0005114